AGUGUAGGUGUGUGGGAAGGAGGGAGUUGUCAUUGUGAAGAAUUGUUCAGGAGAGUGGGGAAUUACUCAUUUCCUAGUUUACUGGUGAGGAUCUGCCUUAUGUAUUGCUACACCUAGGAUGUAUUUUUAACUGUCCUGUGGUAGCUAUAGCAUACGUACAGAUGGACCUACUGAAGGAUAGAUAAAACAUACUACGAAUUACAUAGACUGUGCACAGGGAUACUAGGAAUGUGGCUGGCUGUAGAAGUACCUAGCUCUUGCAGUCACUCAUGUUUUAAAUUGAGACAAUACUAGAUAGUCUGGUUUCUUUUUUGUCUUUUUUUUCUUCCUUUGUUUGCCUAUACGCUUGUAAAGGAUAGGCUGAAAUCAGGACUCACGUAGCAGAGGUAUUCACAAAGUGGGUUGCUUCUGAGGCCAGACCAGUCCCAUCUGUAAAGGACAAAGGCUGCUCACUGCAUGGUUGUUCAGAGCUAUUCAAGGAUGGAAAACGCAAGGAAUCGUAGAGUCUGCCUUUCAGAUAAACCUUAUCCCUGCAAGUGUACUGGUACUUGAAAAAGAGUCCUUGAAUAACCUGCACAGAAGCUGAACCGCCAAAGAGGUGCUACUUUGGAAAAGCAAGAAGAGGAAGGUACCUGAAGCAGUGCAGAGGAAACACUUCUGAACAUUAACACACCACAUGCCCUCAUGCAGAGUCAUCUGAGCUGCUGUCCCACAUGGUUUUCCUGGAGUGCAUGUUUUUCACACCAGGUAUUUGUAGUUCUCCUAUAGUGCACACCCCACGGAUACAAACACAGGCAGGUCUUUUGAAGAACAGCAGUCACUGCUCGUCAAAGGAAAGAAAAAGAAGCCUUUGCAGAACCUGAAGAUAUUGGAAUACAUUCUGCAAUUUCCUGGACUUUAUGCUGCCUCUUGUAAGUGUUAUGAUAUUAUUUCCAGUCCCUAGAAAACAGAACUGUACAAUAGAUGAUGACUGUGGGAUUUCUGUUAUCUUGGAGCAAAUACGGGGUUUAUGCUUUCCCUCCUAUUAAGGUAUUUUAGAAAAUGAAACACAGAAAAAGCAAGAUCUUGCUCAGUUAGUGUGAGGGCUAUCUAUUCUUGUACUUCAAGAACAUGGUUUAGAAAUGGAAUCUCUUACUGCCUCUGCCCAGACAGCAUUCUCAUCUUCCAGAAUGAUACACUGGUGAAAUGAAGACCUGGAGCCAGGUUUGCCUCAAAAGAACACAGAAAAUACUGUAGGUUUAUGGACAAUAUUCCAUCAGAAAUCCUCAUAAAA